UCUUCUGAAGACUUAGGAAUAAAAAAGGGC
rnacentral:piRNA from 1 species